GGACUACUGGGGUAUCUAAUCCUGUUUGCUCCCCACGCUUUCGCACCUCAGCGUCAGUAUCGAGCCAGGAGGCCGCCUUCGCCACCGGUAUUCCUCCACAUAUCUACGCAUUUCACCGCUACACGUGGAAUUCUACCUCCCUCUCUCGUACUCUAGUCGGCCAGUAUCAACUGCAGUUCCCAGGUUGAGCCCAGGGCUUUCACAGCUGACUUAACAAACCGCCUACGCGCGCUUUACGCCCAGUAAUUCCGAUUAACGCUCGCACCCUCCGUAUUACCGCGGCUGCUGGCACGGAGUUAGCCGGUGCUUCUUCUGUCGGUAACGUCAUGACAGAGUGGUAUUAGCACUCUGCUUUUCUUCCCAACUGAAAGUGCUUUACAACCCUAGGGCCUUCUUCACA
rnacentral:misc_RNA from 1 species